rnacentral:rRNA from 1 species
AUACGUAGGUGGCAAGCGUUGUCCGGAAUUAUUGGGCGUAAAGCGCGCGCAGGUGGUUCCUUAAGUCUGAUGUGAAAGCCCCCGGCUCAACCGGGGAGGGUCAUUGGAAACUGGGGAACUUGAGUGCAGAAGAGGAUAGUGGAAUUCCAAGUGUAGCGGUGAAAUGCGUAGAGAUUUGGAGGAACACCAGUGGCGAAGGCGACUGUCUGGUCUGUAACUGACACUGAGGCGCGAAAGCGUGAGGAGCAAACAGGAUUAGAUACCCUGGUAGUCCACGCCGUAAACGAUGAGUGCUAAGUGUUGGGGGGUUUCCGCCCCUCAGUGCUGCAGCUAACGCAUUAAGCACUCCGCCUGGGGAGUACGGUCGCAAGACUGAAACUUAAAUGAAUUGGCGGGG